rnacentral:rRNA from 1 species
UACGUAGGGUGCGAGCGUUGUCCGGAUUUAUUGGGCGUAAAGAGCUCGUAGGUGGCUUAGUAAGUCGGGUGUGAAACCUCCAGGCUCAACCUGGAGACGCCACCCGAUACUGCUAUAGCUUGAGUCCGGUAGGGGAGCGUGGAAUUCCUGGUGUAGCGGUGAAAUGCGCAGAUAUCAGGAGGAACACCAGCGGCGAAGGCGGCGCUCUGGGCCGGUACUGACGCUGAGACGCGAAAGCGUGGGGAGCGAACAGG